GAUAGGGUCAGUUCGGCUGGAUCGGUGACAGGUGCUGCAUGGCUGUCGUCAGCUCGUGUCGUGAGAUGUUGGGUUAAGUCCCGCAACGAGCGCAACCCUUGUCCUUAGUUGCCACCAUUCAGUUGGACACUCUAAGGAGACUGCCGGUGUUAAACCGGAGGAAGGUGGGGAUGACGUCAAGUCCUCAUGGCCCUUAUAUCCAGGGCUACACACGUGCUACAAUGGCCGGUACAAAGGGUCGCAAUACCGCGAGGUGGAGCUAAUCCCAAAAAGCCGGUCUCAGUUCGGAUUGGAGUCUGCAACUCGACUCCAUGAAGUCGGAAUCGCUAGUAGUCGCGUAUCAGCGUGACGCGGUGAAUACGUUCCCGGGCCUU
rnacentral:rRNA from 1 species